GAUGAACGCUGGCGGCGCGCCUAACACAUGCAAGUCGAACGGCACCCCUCUCCGGAGGGAAGCGAGUGGCGAACGGCUGAGUAACACGUGGAGAACCUGCCCCCUCCCCCGGGAUAGCCGCCCGAAAGGACGGGUAAUACCGGAUACCCCGGGGUGCCGCAUGGCACCCCGGCUAAAGCCCCGACGGGAGGGGAUGGCUCCGCGGCCCAUCAGGUAGACGGCGGGGUGACGGCCCACCGUGCCGACAACGGGUAGCCGGGUUGAGAGACCGACCGGCCAGAUUGGGACUGAGACACGGCCCAGACUCCUACGGGAGGCAGCAGUGGGGAAUCUUGCGCAAUGGGGGAAACCCUGAUGCAGCGACGCCGCGUGGAGGAAGAAGGUUUUCGGAUUGUAAACUCCUGUCGUUAGGGACGAUAAUGACGGUAC
rnacentral:rRNA from 1 species